CCUACGGGAGGCAGCAGUAGGGAAUAUUGCACAAUGGGCGAAAGCCUGAUGGAGCGACGCCGCGUGAGGGAGGAAGGAUUUCGGGAUGUAAAGCGCUAUUAGCAGGGAAGAAAAUGAUGGUAACUGACGAAGAAGCCCCGGCUAACUACGUGCCAGCAGCCGCGGUAAUACGUAGGGGGCAAGCGUUAUCCGGAGUUACUGGGUGUAAAGGGAGCGGAGACGGGUAAUCAAGUCAGAAGUGAAAACCCAGGGUUCAACUUUGGGACUGCUUUCGAAACUGAGUAGCUCGAGGGCAGGAGAGGUAAGUGGAAUUCCUAGUGUAGCGGUGAAAUGCGUAGAUAUUAGGAGGAACACCAGUGGCGAAGGCGGCUUACUGGACUGUAACUGACGUUGAGGCUCGAAAGCGUGGGGAGCAAACAGGAUUAGAUACCCGAGUAGUC
rnacentral:rRNA from 1 species